UACGUUGGUGGCAAGCGUUGUCCGGAAUUAUUGGGCGUAAAGCGCGCGCAGGCGGUCCUUUAAGUCUGAUGUGAAAGCCCACGGCUCAACCGUGGAGGGUCAUUGGAAACUGGGGGACUUGAGUACAGAAGAGAAGAGUGGAAUUCCACGUGUAGCGGUGAAAUGCGUAGAGAUGUGGAGGAACACCAGUGGCGAAGGCGACUCGCUGGACCGGUCCUGACGCUCAGGCGCGAAAGCGUGGGGAGCGAUCCGG
rnacentral:rRNA from 1 species